AUCUUCCGCCCGGCCAUCGGGCCGCGGGCGCUCGGAACCGACCUGGGAGCUGGCGGGACCGUCCUCCCCCGCCACGCCCUCCCAUCGGGCUUUGGGCGCCGGACUCUGGCCACCGCUCGGCACCUGCCUCCGCCUCGCCUUGGGGUAUAGGAGUCCUGUACCGACCCCUGGCUUGCCCAGAGGACAGGUUCUCGCCCGGGCCAGAAGCAAACUGCGGCGAAAUCGAGACAACAGAACUCAGGUGGCGGAGGGUCCCCGCUUUUCCCCAGAGGCGGAAGUUGGCGAGGGAGUCCUCUUCCGUUAUCCAGCGAGAGCGCUGCUCUGGCUGCCUCCCGGUUCUAACCUAGUCCCUGCAGAGGAGUGAUGUACCGGCAGGGACAUUGGACAGAGGCCGUGCUCUUCCCUGCAGCGCAUACCCCGCGGCCCCUGCUGGUGGGCCGCUUCGAUGGUGCUGAGGUUCAUAGUGAAUAUUUAUUGAGCGCCUGCCUCGAGUCCCUUGGGUUUCCUGUUGUCUCGGGACCUGCCGCGUCACUAUCACCCUAGAAUUUGUUAGAAAUGCACGUUUUCGGCCCCACCUAGACCUACAGAACCAGAAACUGCGGGUGGAGUCCUGCAAUAUGAUUAACAAAGCCCUCCGGGUAGUUGUCAUGGACGCCUCUAUAUUUCAGCUAAGCAGUCCAUUUUAAUAAGCUAGGCAGUGAAAAUUUCCAUAGUUUUCCCCAAAGCACAGUGAGGAGUCAGGGAUUCAAAAUGAGGCAAUCUGCCCCAAUGCAGGCGUUUUAUUGCACCCUCCACUCCUGGCUCCUCUGGUUUUUUCGCCCGUAAGACACAGUACUGCUCUUCUCAGGAAGAUUAGGAAAGUACAUUUGUCACAUACGCUUUUCAAGCACGGCUUUAAAAUAACAACUGAAAUUCAGUUCAACUGCAUGUUUUGAGUAUCUACUGGGAGCAAGGCUCUGUGAAGUAUAGUAGCCCUACUGGUUAUGUUUAUCAGUUUGCACCUAAAAGGUGAAAGGAAGGCUUGCUUUCUUGUGAUGUAAAUUUUUUCAAACUAAGGGAGUGCCAGAAAACUGCUGGCUGCUUUCUCUCCCGUGUUGGUUUCUCUCCAGUGCUAUCCAGAAUAUGCUGUAAGCUCUGGACUUCCUGAAACAAAGGUCCAAAGUCACUCUGUCACCCAGGCUGGAGUGCAGUGGCACCAUCACAGCUCCCUGCAGCCUUGACUUACAGGGCUCCAGUGAUCCUCCACCCUCAGCCUCCUGAGUAUCUGAGACCACAGGUGCAAGCCACCAUGCCCAGGUAAUUUUUUAUUUUUGGCCGAGGCUGUUUCAUCAUGUUGCCCAAACUGGCCUUGAACCCCUGAGCUCAAGUAAUCCACAGGCCUCCGCUUCCCAAAGUGCUGAGAUUACAAGCAUGAGCCACUGUGCCUUGCUUACCAGUGUAUUUCUUAGGAAAAUUUUAAUAAACAUCAUAUUGUUGGAUUGUAAAAUUUUUGGAUUCUCAAGUACUCAGAAUAUCAUGAAUUACGUUGCUGUCAAGACAACUAGGAAACAAAAGUGAAUCACCUCCAAGUCACAAUCUGUCAUUAGAAAUCUUGUUAAAAAUAAUACUAAGAGCAAAUACUGAAGCAAAUGCUUCACUUACCAAAACAGCUAUUCUGAAGUAGGUGGUUUGGUUCCAAAUGAAUGACUUUUCUACCUUUAGAAGGUAAACUACCUGAUUUAAAAUGUGGUUUUAUUCAGUGGACCUUUCAGCAGUAGCCAUCACUCACCAUUGAGAAGGUGGGCUUCUCUCACCACCUUAAUCUCUGUAGGUCUCUUUCACCCUCUAGCAUACAUCUUACUAAGGCAUCUAAAGUACUUACUACUUCGUACUCAUGGGAUCCAAUGAUGCUCACAUAAUGUCAUCAAUAGAGUGGACCAGUGUGAUGUUUUGUGGAAUGUCAGAACAAUCAAGAUCACUUCAGACUAUUAUGGCAGUGAGCAAGAGAACUAAUGGAGCCCGUGGCAACACUGGGAAGACAUAUUGUUGGCCCUGUUGGGUAACAGCAAAUCACUUCUGAUGGACCUUGCAAAUUGGUAUGGAGGAAAAGGCAUUAGCCAGUUGUAGCAAGGAAACCAAAAGGUAUAAACAUUCACUGAUUGAAAAACAAUGUCAUAAAGUCAUCCCAGUAUCUGUGAGGAGUUGGUUCCAGGACCCCUGAGGACACCAAAAUCCUCAGAUGCUCAAGUCCCUGAUAAAAAAAUAAAAGGUACAGUAUUUGCGUAUAACCUCCCCAUAUCCUCCUGUACACUUUAAAUCAUCACAAGAUUACUUAUAUUACCCAAUACAAUGUAAAUGCUGUGGGAAUAGUUACACUGUAUUAUUUAGAGAAUAAUAAGAAAAAAAGUCUGUACAUGUUUGGUACAGAUGCAGUUUUUUCUUAAAAAUUGUUGAUCAGCAGUUGGUUGAAUCCACAGAUGUGGAACCCACAAAUACAGCAGGCUGACUGUAUAUACUAAGAAAAAUUACAAAGUGAAAAUGAGGAAUUCUCAUUCUGUAAAUGAAACCAAAUCUAACACAUUUCUCAACAAUGAAUAAAACCACU
rnacentral:lncRNA from 1 species